rnacentral:rRNA from 1 species
AGGCUUGCUCUGAGUGAUAAUGUACCAGAUCUUAUCUGAUCUUAGACACUAAUGAGGGUCAGACCUGGUUCGUAUUUGGAUGAGAGACUGCCUGAGAAUACAAGUGCUGUGUUUA